rnacentral:rRNA from 1 species
AACGGCGAGUGAAGCGGGAAGAGCUCAAGCUUAAAAUCUCCGUGCAAGUUUUUGUGCGGCGAAUUGUAGUCUAUAGAGGCGUGGUCAGCGUGGGCGCUUGGGGCAAGUUCCUUGGAAGAGGACAGCAUGGAGGGUGAUACUCCCGUUCAUCCCUGAGUGGCUCGUGCGUACGACCCGUUUUCUUUGAGUCGCGUUGUUUGGGAAUGCAGCGCAAAGUAGGUGGUAAAUUCCAUCUAAAGCUAAAUAUUGGUGCGAGACCGAUAGCGAACAAGUACCGUGAGGGAAAGAUGAAAAGAACUUUGAAAAGAGAGUUAAAGAGUACCUGAAACUGCUGAAAGGGAACCGAAUCGUUUCCAGUGUCUAUAAUCUGUGGCAUAUUUCAUUGGCGAGCGUUUGCGUGCGUGUGCUGUGGCAGUGGCUUUUUUGGCUGCGCCUGGUGUGUGUGGUGUGAGUGUUUGCUGGUGCCCUGUGCUGCGGUGGGACGUCAAGGUCAGUUCGUAUGCUGCGGGAAAAUGGCUGCCGAGGAGGUAGGGCUUACGCUCCGCGUUUGUCUGUUAUAUCUUGGUGGACGAGUCGUCGCGGUUGGGACUGAGGUGCCUACAACGUGCUUUUGAGUGGGUUUGUGUCUCCGUGUGCGCCGUGUGCGGAUAGCUUGCUAUGCGUGUGUGGUUGUGUGUGGAUUGAUGCGGGCCUUAACUUGUCGCCGUUCGGGAACGUUGACGAAAUGGACCGAUCCGACCC